UGCCUAACACAUGCAAGUCGAACGCGAAAGCCCGCAAGGGUAAGUAGAGUGGCGCACGGGUGAGUAACACGUGGGUAACCUACCUUCAAGUGGGGGAUAACCUGCCGAAAGGCGGGCUAAUACCGCAUAAUAAGCUCUGGCUUCGGUCGGGGUUUUGAAAGGUCGCAAGAUCGCUUAAAGAGGGGCCCGCGGCUGAUUAGCUAGUUGGUGGGGUAAUGGCCCACCAAGGCAAUGAUCAGUAGCCGUCCUGAGAGGGAGCACGGCCACACUGGAACUGAAACACGGUCCAGACUCCUACGGGAGGCAGCAGUGGGGAAUUUUUCGCAAUGGGCGCAAGCCUGAGGAAGCAACGCCGCGUGGAUGAUGAAGUUCUUUGGAACGUAAAAUCC
rnacentral:rRNA from 1 species